AAAAGCGUCACAUGCAGCUACACUCCAACUACAACAGUGACAGAAAAAUUCUCCUUCUUUGUGCAAGCGUCGUGUGGAUGGAAGAAACUCAGUUUCACUGUUGACACAACAGUUUACUUAGGACUUAACAAAGCAAGAUCAUCUCCACCAGAGACAGCAGCGGGUCUUGGAUUCAAGGAUACUGUCAUCAGUGUGGCUGUGAGCGGUUUAAUCAUCUUCCUCAUCAUCAUCAUGACAAUCAUGUACAAAACAAAACCAAACUUUACCAAACUUUCAGAACAAGAUGUUACUGUUUGUCAGACAUGAUGAGGACAGCAGCAAUCACCCAGAUAUAUAAGGAUUAAGUCAACAGUAUGAAACUACUGACUUUGUUUGAUUUUCUAUAUGGUGCUCACAAAAGACACACGCUUUAUUAUAUCUCAAACCUAAUAUAUAACUCUGGCUGUACACUGUAAAAAAAUUUGACCAUAAAUUCACAGUAAAUUACUGGCUGCUAGUUGCAUUACUUUCACCGUAAUUUACUGUAUGUAAAUUCACAGUAAAUUACUGUAAACUAGUUACAUUACUUUCACAGUAAGAUACUGUAUCAUUUUUACAGUAAAUAAUUGUGAAAUGACAGCUGUAUACUGUGACCUCACGGUAGUUAUUCCAUACUCUGAUUUGGCAGUAUGCUCCUGUAGAAUUACUGAUUUAGCUGUGAAGUUACAGUUAAUGCCAUCAGAUUACUACAAUUUAGCAGUAUUCUGCUGUAGAAUUACAGUGUAAACUGAAAUAGUUGUGCAAAUCAGUAGCCAGUAAUAUGCUUUUAAUUUAUUAUACAAUGUAUUGUUAAUUAACAACUUUUAAUUUAAAAUAUUGUUAAUUUAGUAUAAAAUACUGUUGUUUAGAAAUCUGAUCUUUUAACCCAUCACUGGAAAGAUAUGUUCAAUUCAAAUAAACACAAAAUAUUUCGUACAUUUA